rnacentral:misc_RNA from 1 species
GAUGAAGAACGCAGCGAAAUGCGAUACGUAAUGUGAAUUGCAGAAUUCAGUGAAUCAUCGAAUCUUUGAACGCAUAUUGCGCUCUCUGGUAUUCCGGAGAGCAUGCUUGUUUGAGUAUCAGUAAACACCUCAACUUCCAUAUCUUUUUUGAAAUGGGAGUUGGACUUGAGUGAUCCCAACGCUUUUCCUCACCGAAAAGUGGCGGGUUACUUGAAAUGCAGGUGCAGCUGGACUUUUCUCUUAGCUAUAUGCAUAUCUAUUUAGUCUGCCUAAAAAACAGAUUAUUACCUUUGCUGCAGCUAACAUAAAGGAGAUUAGUUCUUGUGCUGACUGAUGCAGGAUUCACAAAGACAGGCUUCGGCCGACUUUGUAAACUCGAUCUCAAAUCAAGUAAGACUACCCGCUGAACUUAAGCAUAUCAAUAAGCGGAGGA